AUCAGGAGAAAAUGAACAGGAUGCGACAGCGCAUUGCUCAGCGUCUGAAGGAGGCCCAGAAUACUUGUGCAACGCUGACCACUUUCAAUGAGAUUGACAUGAGUAACAUCCAAGAGAUGAGGGCUCGGCACAAAGAUGCUUUUCUGAAGAAACAUAACCUCAAAUUAGGCUUCAUAUCAGCAUUUGUGAAGGCUUCAGCCUUUGCCUUGCAGGAGCAGCCUGUUGUAAAUGCAGUGAUUGACGAUACAACCAAAGAAGUGGUGUAUAGGGAUUAUAUUGACAUCAGUGUUGCAGUGGCCACCCCACAGGGUCUGGUGGUUCCUGUCAUCAGGAAUGUAGAAGCUAUGAAUUAUGCAGAUAUUGAACAGACCAUCCGUGAACUGGGAGAGAAGGCCCGAAAGAGUGAACUUGCCAUUGAAGAUAUGGACGGUGGUACUUUCACCAUUAGCAAUGGAGGCGUGUUUGGCUCACUCUUUGGAACACCCAUUAUCAACCCCCCCUCAGUCUGCCAUCCUGGGCGUGCAUGCCAUCUUUGACAGGCCAGUGGCCGUGGGAGGCAAGGUGGAGGUUCGGCCCAUGAUGUACGUGGCAUUGACUUAUGAUCACCGGCUGAUUGAUGGCAGAGAGGCCAUGACUUUCCUCCGCAAAAUCAAGGCAGCGGUAGAGGAUCCCAGAGUCCUCCUCCUGGACCUUUAGGAGGAAGUCACAUGCCCUACAAAUCGAUCAUGCGGGAACUGAAAACCAGUCUUCUCCCUGUCCCCUCACGGGUCCCAGGUUAGCCUGGUGACAGGCAGGCAUAUGCUGUUGGCCUCAAGCAAGGAAGCAGGGCACUAUCUAACCAGCAGUUGAAGGUCUUUCCUUGGUGCUCCUGCCAGGCGCUCUCCCUCUCUCUACCCAUCUCUUACCCACAAAUAUCUUAUUUCCUUGGGCUUGAGAGAGAGAGAGCGCCUUAAUGGAUGCUCAUUAUAUUCCUGCCUUUCUUCAAUCAGCACUCUGCAAAGGUGAUUUU